UGCCAGCAGCCGCGGUAAUACGGAGGGUGCAAGCGUUGCUCGGAAUCACUGGGCGUAAAGCGGGCGCAGGCGGCCUGCCAGGUUGGAUGUGAAAGCCCGGGGCUCAACCCCGGAACUGCAUUGGAAACUGGCGAACUUGAGUACGGGAGAGGAAAGUGGAAUUCCGAGUGUAGGGGUGAAAUCCGUAGAUAUUCGGAGGAACACCAGUGGCGAAGGCGGCUUUCUGGACCGAUACUGACGCUGAGACGCGAAAGCGUGGGGAGCAAACAGGAUUAGAUA
rnacentral:rRNA from 1 species